GACGAACGCUGGCGGCGUGCUUAACACAUACAAGUCGAACGGAAAGGCCCUGCUUUUGUGGGGUGCUCGAGUGGCGAACGGGUGAGUAACACGUGAGUAACCUGCCCUUGACUUUGGGAUAACUUCAGGAAACUGGGGCUAAUACCGGAUAGGAGCUCCUGCUGCAUGGUGGGGGUUGGAAAGUUUCGGCGGUUGGGGAUGGACUCGCGGCUUAUCAGCUUGUUGGUGGGGUAGUGGCUUACCAAGGCUUUGACGGGUAGCCGGCCUGAGAGGGUGACCGGCCACAUUGGGACUGAGAUACGGCCCAGACUCCUACGGGAGGCAGCAGUGGGGAAUAUUGCACAAUGGGCGGUAGCCUGAUGCAGCAACGCCGCGUGCGGGAUGACGGCCUUCGGGUUGUAAACCGCUUUCGCCUGUGACGAAGCGUGAGUGACGGUAAUGGGUAAAGAAGCACCGGCUAACUACGUG
rnacentral:rRNA from 1 species